CACGCAGCCUGGCCGCCCGUCACACUCAUGACUAACCCUGUGGUGGACUCUCGCUAGCCCCUGGGCACCCAGUCGACACUUCGGCUAUCCUGAUCCGGACCUGCGGGGUGAGAAAGAGGCGGGGAGAGCCUGGGGAGAGCACAUCCCACAUGCUUCUGGAAUCCGUCACUGUUCUGAACACAAGCUCUACCACCAGAUGGACACCAGUGGAGAGAGACAACACUGAGAAAACGCAGCAGCCAUCGUCAGGAGUGGUGUCCAGUCUUCAGUUCUUG